UUUUUUUUUGAAAAAGAUCUCGGUUGUCAGUGAUCCUGAAAAAGAGGAGAAAUGAAAAUGCCUUUCGAAGCAGAGGUUGGGAAUGUCGGGGAUUUCUUAUUCUGCGUUUUGUUGUUUUUGUUUUUGUUUGUGUAUAUCGAUAUUAUUGCCCUCAUGAAGAGGCCCCUAAAGCGAAGAAGUGAAGGCAAUGAAGAAAAAGCUUCAAGAUGUCGAGCUUAAUAAAUCUGCUAGCGUGGAUGUUUUUAAAAAUAUAUCACAACGUGGAUGUCUACCAAAGAAAUCACUAGAA